CCUCUUGUAGUUUACUUAAAACACUGCCCUUUCACCGCAAAGAAGAAUAACCUUCCAAGAGUU
rnacentral:tRNA from 1 species